AUUGAACGCUGGCGGCAGGCCUAACACAUGCAAGUCGAGCGGAGCGGCGGACGGGGGAGGAAUGCCUAGGAAUCGGCAUGUUAGUGAGGGAUAACGUCAGGAAAUGGGCGCUAAUACCGCAUACUAUCAGAUGAGCCUAGGUCGGAUUAGCUAGUUGGUGGGGUAAAGGCAUACCAAGGCGACGAUCCAUAGCUGGACUGAGAGGAUGAUCAGUCACACUGGAACUGAGACACGGUCCAGACUCCUACGGGAGGCAGCAGUAGGGAAUAUUGGACAAUGGACGAAAGCCUGAUCCAGCCAUGCCGCGUGUGUGAAGAAGGUCUUCGGAUUGUAAAGCACUGUUAGUUGGGAAGCGUUACCUACAGAGAAAGCACCGGCUAACUACGUGCCAGCAGCCGCGGUAAUUC
rnacentral:rRNA from 1 species